rnacentral:rRNA from 1 species
AUUGAACGCUGGCGGCGUGCCUAACACAUGCAAGUCGAGCGGUAACGCGGGAGCAAUCCUGGCGACGGGCGGCGAACGGGUGAGUAAUGCUUUGGAAUCUGCCCAGUAGUGGGGAAUAACUAACCGAAAGGUUAGCUGAUGCCGCAUACGACCUACGGGUGAAAGCGGGGGAUCGCAAGACCUCGCGCUAUUGGAUGAGC